CAGAGCUUGGAGUGAGCCCAGAUCUCACUACUGUACUCCGGCCUGGAUGACAGAGUGAGACUCCAUCUCAAAAAACAAACAAACAGAAAAUAAAAAAUAAAUAAAAAUAAAAAAAUGAAACACUCAGCAAGCAGGCAGAGACUUGGGAGAGAAGAAACUCGGCUCAUAGGAUCUCGGCUGGGACACACGCCUGAGGCCCCUGACCUGAUGUCUGGCCACAGACUCCUCAGAAAGGCUCCCGAGAGGGUGACACCCACCCCCUCUGGCCAUGAGCCCCUUUC
rnacentral:lncRNA from 10 species